AAAAAUAAAUUAAAUAUAAAUAGCAUCACUUUUCCUGGUUUCUUUAAACACUUAUUAUAAAAUUAAAAAAUAAAAUAUUUUUUUAAAGCUAUAUAAAAGAAACAAAAUAUAACAUGAAUGCUAUAUGUUUUAUCUACCUUACAAAAUAUUUAAUCAUUUUUUCUAUACUACAAUCAUUGUAUAUGGAUAGAUGUGUGGCCCAAGUAAAUUUUUCUUCCAAUUGGGGUCUCAAGAGAAGCGACGAGAAUGAUAAUAAUUGGUUGGAUCUGUUAAGGAAUGAGUACCAAGAUAUAAAUUUUGGAAAGUACAAAAAGGCUACUAUGCGCAAUCCAAUUUUAUUCCGCGGAAGGCGUUAUUACGAAAACGAAUGAUGAUGCUUCAGCUUUAUUAUAGUUGUUUGUAUAAAUAUUUCAUUUAUAGAAUAAGUUUUUAUAAAACAUAUAGGUAUUUUUUUGUAUAUCAAAAUGACCUUAUAACUUCUAUACUUUAUUUAUACUAUGAUUGUAA